rnacentral:tRNA from 1 species
AAGAAAGUGACAGAGUGGUGAUGUGACUGACUUGAAAUCAGUUUAUGGGGGUUCAAUUCCUUCCUUUCUCG